AUACGGAGGAUGCGAGCGUUAUCCGGAUUCAUUGGGUUUAAAGGGUGCGUAGGUGGCCGAUUAAGUCAGCGGUGAAAGUCAGUGGCUCAACCAUUGAACUGCCGUUGAAACUGGUUGGCUUGAGUACGUACGGGGCAGGCGGAAUGCGUGGUGUAGCGGUGAAAUGCAUAGAUAUCGGGAGGAACACCAGUGGCGAAGGCGGCUUCCUGGCACAAUACUGACGCUCAUGUGCGAAAGCUAGGGUAGC
rnacentral:rRNA from 1 species